AUUGAACGCUGGCGGCAGGCUUAACACAUGCAAGUCGAGCGGAGAUGAGGUGCUUGCACCUUAUCUAGCGGCGGACGGGUGAGUAAUGCUUAGGAAUCUGCCUAUUAGUGGGGGACAACAUUCCGAAAGGAAUGCUAAUACCGCAUACGUCCUACGGGAGAAAGCAGGGGAUCUUCGGACCUUGCGCUAAUAGAUGAGCCUAAGUCGGAUUAGUUAGUUGGUGGGGUAAAGGCCUACCAAGGCGACGAUCUGUAGCGGGUCUGAGAGGAUGAUCCGCCACACUGGGACUGAGACACGGCCCAGACUCCUACGGGAGGCAGCAGUGGGGAAUAUUGGACAAUGGGGGGAACCCUGAUCCAGCCAUGCCGCGUGUGUGAAGAAGGCCUUAUGGUUGUAAAGCACUUUGAGCGAGGAGGAGGCUACUGAGACUAAUACUCUUGGAUAGUGGACGUUACUCGCAGAAUAAGCACCGGCUAACUCUGUGCCAGCCGCCGCGGUAA
rnacentral:rRNA from 1 species